rnacentral:lncRNA from 1 species
UAAAUCUGACAACGGUGGGCAAAGAACAUGAGAGGAAAUACUGUAUUGAAGGGACCAUAAGCCAGAAAAUAGAAAACCUUUGCAUGUAUAGCUUUGCCUCUGCAUAUACCAUAUUAGCCUUUUAUAUAGACAGUGUAAGCCCUUUAUAUGAACCAAAGUAGUAUGUGUAACACAGGGCCUGUGCCCCUCCCUUCUUGGGGGCUGGUGCUUUUCUCCAGAAUGUUCUGAGGAGAGAAGAAAGCUCAGAGUAAACAUGUGAGGUCACAGAUACCACUUGUGCCAAAAUAGGUGUGGAAGGUGAGGAAGACCAUCAGCAAUUGGUCAAUUUUAGAUAAGCCAAGAUAUAUAUUCUUUGUUAACUGCAACACACUUUACAGUGGCUAUUUGCAUGGUACAGACCUUUGUGGGUGUGUACAGCUGUUUUGCCUUCUCAUAGCUAUGAUGGAAAUAAUUUUGCUUUUUGUGCUCUCACGAGAUUGGUUUUUCUGCCUGAUUGCUUCCAGGGCCGGAACCUUUGAAGACAAGUGGGAGCAGUUUCUGCAACAUGUGAUGGCAUAGGUCUCUAGCAUUUUCUGUUUGCUGGUUGCCUUGGAAAACAAUAAGAAAGGGAGAGUAUGAAGGCAAAGGCCAUUCACUAUCUGCAUCCAGUCCUGAACUUUCAUCAAAUGACAGCAAAAGCUUCUUCUUUGAAGACAUCAUCCACCAAAUCUACCCUUUCUGAUGUAUUAAUAGCAAUUCCAAGCUACCGGUAUUCAAUACUAAAAAAAUCUUGCCGAGUUUUGUUUGGACCACAGGGAAAUAGUAUCAAUUUCUAUGAAAUGUGUUGGAUUUUAUUUACCUUACAUGUACCCACAUUGUAAAUAAUGCAUAAUUUAUAUGUAUUUUAUAGAAAUGUUUUAAUACGUAUCUUUUAUAGAACUACAUUUUAAUAUGUGUGUUUAUAGAAUUUUUGCAGUUUGUGCAAUUUGAUUGUGCUGUGACCUGCCUUGAGAAGAGGCGGGUAAGAAAUAAAAUUAUUAUGUUGGCUUCUAGCAUGCUUGUGUUUCCGGCACAGGGACUCUUUUAUAUGGUUUUCUACAUGCAUUUCAAAUAGACAUAUUUUUGCCACGGGAUCUGUAUGUACAGCUGUGCAUGAACAAUGCACAAGUUUAUACAUUCUGGAAAAGGUUUUUUUUUAAAAGCCUCUUAUUCAGAAGUGGUUGACUAUGGUGGCUCUACAGCCCCUCUGGAGCUACAGGGACUGCUCAAAAUAUCAAAAUUGAAGAGUGACUGUGAAUCCAUUUCCAGCAUGUUUGAGAUUUGGGUUACUGUGAGUUUUAGGUCUGUUCAACCCGCGGCCCAUGGGCUGCAUGCAGAAUCAUAAACUUACUUUAACCAUUUAUGAGAAUUUUUUUGGCUUUUUUUUGUAACUUAAUUGCGCAGUUCUUGAGUUGAACUUUGUAGAUGGGAAUGAAAUAGCACUAUGUAACAUGAUUUUUGUUGCUGGGUUAUAAAUGUCAUUUCCUAAUUGUUUCAAUCAUAAAAAAACAUGGAAAACGUUUAUUGUGUUUCUGUUUGUAGGAAGCCAUGCAAAAGGUGCUCUGCCCUUCCUGUUUUGCAGGAAGGUGGAAAAAAGGAUCAUAUGGGGAGCCUGGAAAGGUACAAAACAAGCAAAAAAGGUUUGGGGGCAUGACUUGACUUUCUCCAUUCACAGAAGGAAGAAAGAAAGAUUUUAGCCAUGGCUGGGCUUUCAGGCUUUAAUGGCUGGAAACACGGAGUUGCUAUGAGUUUUCCAGGCUGUAUGGCCAUGUUCCAAAAGCAUUCUCUCCUGACAUUUCGCCCACAUCCAUAGCAGGAAUCCUCAGAGAUUGUGAGGUCUGUUUGAAACAAGGCAAGUGGGUUUUAUAUAUCUGUAGAAUGUCCAGGGUGGGAGAAAGAACAAGUGUGAAUGUCGCUACUGGCCACCUUGAUUAGCAUUGAAUGGCCUUGCAGCUUCAAAGCCUGUCUGCUUCCUGCUUGGGAGAAUCCUUUGUUGGGACAUUCCAAAGAUAUAUUAACCUCACUUGCCUAGUUUCCAACACACCCCACAACCUCUGAGGAUGCCUGUCAUAGAUGUAGGUGAAACGUCAGGAGAGAAUGCUUCUGGGACAUGGCCAUACAGCCUAGAAAACUCACAGUAACCCAACGUUCAUACUGUUGGGGUGGUCAGAAAGGAAUUGAAUGUACAGAUGGAAGGUCUACUGUUUCAGUGGGUACACAGAGGGUAGAAGUGGGUUUUCCUCUAAUAUAGUUAUGCAGUUGUAAAAUGUUUCACUUUUGAGCACUCUGCUGGAGAAAUGUAUGUUCAGAAAACGUAUACAGAGACAAAGAAGUAGCAGCAAAUUUCUGAAUCGGGUUAGAAUUGCUGGCAAUUCUAAUUCAAACCAGAGAUAAUUAGCAUUCUUGAAAAGGGGACACAAACAGGACAUUAACAAAAGCCACAGAAAUACUAAGCAAGGCAGUAAUAUAUAUUACAUUAAAAAUACUACAUUUGUUAAAUUUCUCUAUUACAAUAAGUCUGUGCGUUAUUUUUUUCCAAUGUCAUCUCUGCAAGCUCACACACAAAUAAAAAAAAUUCACACUAUAGUUAAGCAUGUAUUCAAGGUGAAAGAACAUAAUUGAGAAAAUUAGCCUUUAAUCUCUAAAUCACAGCACUCCAUAGUAGGUUAUCAACCUGUCUAAUUUUCCCUGUCACAUCUCCCUGGCAUACAGCGAAAGCACUUAAACGCAGCGGAUUUCCAGACCUUAAAAUCAUGCAGGCUCAAGGUAUUAAGCGAGUUUUUGGUUUAGUAUUUCCCUGAGUCUUGAAGCCUCAGAAAUGCUUUGUACAAAAAUAACAUUUGAUCUCUUUGGAAUCAAGUUAUAACAGAUAGCUUUAGUUAUAUAAGCAAAAAAUACAGACAUUUACUUCAUUUUUUCAAAACAAAGAAGGCAAACAGCUGAAUAAAAAUUAUAUGAAAACAGUUAAAUGCAAGAAUUUGCUUUUUACAUAAAACCAGGUUUAAAAUUUGAGAAGGCUUAAUGGCUCAUAGCCUCUCUCAUAAUGUUAUUUAUGAGAAACUACUAUUAUGAAUGAAAGCCUGAGGAGAACUCCAAUUGUCUUGGCAAGAUUAGCCGGCUAAGGAAUUUAGAAACUCAGUUCUCCAACCCCAAAGUCACAGAGCUAAUGUUUCAUAUUGCAUUCUUUAUUUUAUUGUUUAUCCUUAGUUCUUCACCAUCCUUAGAAAACGCUUUAACUAAAACAUGAGUGGUUUCAUAACUUGUUCGGUUGUGAGUGAUACAUUUAAUCAGUCCCAAAUGUUGAAUUGAUU